rnacentral:pre_miRNA from 1 species
CAAGUACUCCCUCCGUCCGGAAAUACUUGUCGGAGAAAUGAAUGUAUCUAGAUGUAUUUUAGUUCUAGAUACAUCCAUUUUUAUUCAUUUUUCCGACAAGUAUUUCCGGACGGGGGGAGUAUUUA